rnacentral:tRNA from 1 species
CAGGAGAUAAUUUAUGUGAAAAUAUUAACAUUGGAAGUUAAAAAUUAAGUAGUACUUAUCUUUUGA